ensembl:lncRNA
CUUGGAAGCUGGCUCUUUUCCUUCCGAGCUGGAAUGGCACAGUACCUGAAAGAGACAUCUAGAGCAAUGUGAGACAUUGCUGACUUCACAGCCAGCAUUAUAUCUGCAAUUCGUGCCUGUGUAACUUCUUCAGCAUGAGUUUGCCCCAUCUCUCCAAGGAGCCAACAGUGGGGAGCGGAGCCUCUGGCACUGGCUCGACUAAGAGAAGAUCAAAGUUUCACCACCUGGAGGGGAGGAAGGAUGGCAACAUUGCCGUUGGUCUCCUCUAUCCUCAGAAAGGCCAUGCAAGCCUGUUCCCUAGUGUAAUCCUGAACGUGAAGAAAGACACCUGAUUAAUGCAUAUGCACACACUCCACAGAGAUGUGCCUGCUUAACAUUCAAGUAGCUGCCAGCAGUGAGCCUUCUGGAGGAAAGGAUGCAC